UUGCUCUUAGUUCAGCUUGGUAGAACGCAGGUCUCCAAAACCUGAUGUCGUAGGUUCAAAUCCUACAGAGCGAG
rnacentral:tRNA from 1 species